UCCCACGUCACCAUUUCGCUCGCCUCCCUCGAGUCGCUCGGUCUCAUGGCGCCCAAUCUCGAUGGCGGCGGGUAGUGUUAGCCACCGCCGCGCACUCUCCACCUUCAGCUCGCACCUCCACCUCCCUCCCCCCUCCCCAACCACCCGUGUUGCCUCUCCCUCUUCACCAGGCCAUCGCCGCCGGGCAUGCGCACGGGUGCAAGGCGAUGGUAGAGGCGCUUCACCCGUGUGUGUUCACGCCGGCGGCAGCCGUAUUGGCUCCCAACCUGGGACCAAGGGAAAUUGAUGGAGAAUGCCAAGGAUUUAGGGUAUUUAGGGUUUUCUCCAUCGAGAUUGCUAUCCUAAUUGCAUUUUGGUAUUUUGCUUAGAGUUCUUUCUCCUCUCAUCUAUUUUUUGUUGGCUGCAUUCCUUCUACAAUGGUGCGUGCUCAUCUCGAGCUAUUUAAGCGAUUUCCAAUUUGUUGAUCUGUUCGUUUUGGGGACUUAAAGAUUACUGAUCCUACCGUUGCUUGCAGACCGACACCUAAAUUAAAUAGUUGAUAGAUUAAAUCUAUUUGGAUGUUAUCCCAGGCUUCAUGGACAACAACGUCGCCUCGAGGAAAUAAGCCUCCUCCGUCCCUCCAUAUGUAUUUCCUCCUCUGCACUGUACUGCUUUGCUUUUCCUCAUGCUUGCUGUGAUGUGGAUGUGUUGCUGCUGACCAAUACUAUCUUAUUAUUGCAGUUUUCUUUUUUUGUUCAUGCCGUUGCAUUGCCUCUGAAUCUUACUUUUUUUGCGGGGCCUCUGAAUCUUACUUACUUUUCAGUGCUAUAUGCAGAUUCAGUUACAGGACACAUAGUCCCUGGAGAUGAAACAAGGGAAAAUAGACUGCACCAAGCAUAAGUUAAUGUACAUUCAGCAUAAGAGAGUUAAGGCCACUACCUAGCUAGAGAAACCGAAGGUGGGGCUCUUUGUUGCCAACAUAAGACCAACAAAAUUUGGAUGACUGCUUUCGAUUUUGGUGCAGUAGUUUUGGUUAGCGACCAUUGUAUCAUGUUUUCUUACAGUAAAGUCCCACAUUAGUAGGUGGAUAGGUGCUUCCGCGAGGGCUGUGAAUGUUCUUUACUUCUGAUUAAAGUGAAGUGGUAUAUUUGUGUAGGUGAUGACAAAAGCUACAAUUAUUCAGCGCCGUCAUUCUCUCCUGCAGGUGAUGUAUUAUGCAGUUAACUGUUCGCUGUAAUUUUACAGUGUCACUGCUCCCACUCUGCUUUUGAAAACAAUAUGUCAAUAAUGGAUUACAUAAGGAAAUGUUUAUUGCAUCUGUCAGUUAACAUUACUUAUGGUGUUAGGGACCUUUUGAUUCAUAGGAGUGGCAAAGAAUUUUAUAGGAUUCAAAUUCCAACGGAUUUUUCUUCCUAUGUUUCCCUUUGACUUACAGGAUUAUGUUCCUAUGCUUCACUUUUAUAGGAAAAAUACUAAGUGGUAUAACCUCUUUGUAAAUUUUCCUUUGUUUUUCCUAUGGCACUAUCAAAGGGCUCCUAUUAUCUUUUCCUAUGUUUUUUAUUCCUGUAGGAUUAAAGAAGCACAUCACUUUUAUUCCUGGGUUUUUCCUAUUUGUGUGCUUUGAUCAAAGGGGCUUUAAGAUGCUAUGCAGCUAUGCCAUAAGCCACCCUUCCUUGUGUUAUGACCUACUACUUCCUACUAGUAGUACAUUUUUGGUAUCGCUAUGCCAUAAGCCACCCUUCCUUGUGUUAUGACCUACUACUUCCUACUAGUAGUACAUUUUUGGUAUCCAUAUGGAUAUUUUCUUCAUGAUGGUUGUCUCUACUUAAAGCUAUGCAUUAUUCAGACAUGAAGAUUAAGUGAAAAACAAGCCACUCCCAACUUAACUUUUGUUUGAUGGAUAUGCUAGAUAGAAACCUAGGUGUAUUUUCUUGGUCUCUUAGGUCGUUGUGUCACACAAUGUUGUUUGUUGAUGAGCUCCCUAUAUAUAUUGUUAGGUCAAUUAUGUUACACAACAAGUUUUUUUGCGCUAAUGUGAGAUUACUAGGCUGACAGUCCUUAGAUAUAGAUUUGGUUUGGUUAUGGUGACAGUUUGGUUUUGGAUGAUUGGACUUUGUUUUAUUUUUCCACAAGCCCAGCAAUAUGAUAUUAAGUAAUGUUAUUUAAUAUGCGAAGAUUAGUGGCCAUUCCGAAACGCAUGCCGAAACGACAUAUUUUCCAAAACUGAAUUGUCCUCCUAUGAGUUACAUUCAAUUUCUCUUCCUUAAACGUGGGGUUUUAUGUGUGCUCAGUGACUACCCCCAUAGCAUACUUGCUGAUCCAUAUGUAUCGUUGCUAAACAGUACUAUGUAUAGUGGUUUAAUUUUAAUGGUCGUAAAUCUUGGUUUCCCAGUAAGUAGCUAGCUAGCAUGAUUUUGUCCCUUUUUUUGUUUCAAUCAUAGUUUACUCUUUUAACGGGCAACUUGUUUAUAAACAAACAACUCACGGGGUGUUGGUCUUAUGUCAUUCUAGAGUACUUUUCGGAGUUUAAUAAUAUGACACAAAGGCUUUCCAAACGAUGGCGAUGCCUAUGGAUAAUCAUUUUCCUGCUGCUCUUACAUAUUUCUAUAUAUUAUAUAUUCUUUUAUUUACUUAUUUAUUUUGACUGAGAAGAGCCGGAGACUGCGCUAUAUUUCAAUAUAUAUAUUCUUCUUUUAUGUUUAAUCCAUUUAGUUUGAUGCUCCCACUCUUCAGUCGGUGCUGCUUUAUAAUGAAAUUAUUAUGUGCAUUAUAUCGUCCAACAUAAGCAUAACCAUUUCAUGUUUGCAGGACCAAAGCGCCAUUCAUACUGCUGUGCUUUUGUUGUGGAUUGAACUAGCAGGAGAGAAGAAUGCACAUGAACUUAUAAAUGGAACAUUUCCUGUAGCCACCAGUUUGAUCUCACUAGAAAAAGGCAGCUACUUUAUUUGUCCUAUAUAUUAGUGUAUUGUUUUUUAAUCAAUGUAAAUGAUCACUUACGGAGUACAUGUAUGCAUUAAUCACCUAAUCGUCCUGUAAUAUUUUCUGUUUAAUUUUUUCCCUGCACGGCGUAGCGCGCAAACCUUUUCUAGUAUAUAUAACAUCAUCAGGAUUUUAUA